rnacentral:rRNA from 1 species
UACGUAGGGUGCGAGCGUUGUCCGGAAUUAUUGGGCGUAAAGGGCUCGUAGGCGGUUUGUCGCGUCGGGAGUGAAAACCUCGGGCUUAACUCGGGGCUUGCUUUCGAUACGGGCAGACUAGAGGUAUGCAGGGGAGAACGGAAUUCCUGGUGUAGCGGUGAAAUGCGCAGAUAUCAGGAGGAACACCGGUGGCGAAGGCGGUUCUCUGGGCAUGACCUGACGCUGAGGAGCGAAAGUGUGGGGAGCGAACAGG